rnacentral:lncRNA from 1 species
AGCCAGACCUGCUGGCCACCUCCAGCGAUUUCCUCCGCGUGUGGCGCAUCUCGGGGGAUGAGGACAACUCAGACUCCUCGUCGUCAGUGGAGCUCAAGUCCCUCCUCAACGGCAACAAGAACUCCGAGUUCUGCGGGCCCAUCACCUCCUUCGACUGGAACGAGGCGGAGCCGAAGCGCAUCGGCACCUCCUCCAUCGACACCACGUGCACCAUCUGGGACAUCGAGCGCGAGGCCGUAGACACCCAGCUCAUCGCCCACGACAAGGAGGUGUACGACAUCGCAUGGGGCGGCGU